GUUGUUAGGGCGCCAAGGAAGAAAGACCUCUCGUUAGCCUAAUGCCAAUGCUAAUCGUCUUGUGAAAUUCAAAGAAAAUCAGCAUUUCUUUUUAAAACAUAAAAUGGGUGAUUAGGUUUUUAUUUUUAGGCUAUAUUUUUAGAAACUAUUUUUUUUUAAAUCGUAUCAAAUUGUUUCACUUAUUUUCGUAGAUUGUAUUUAAUAAUAAUCUAAUAGCUUUAAACUCUGUGUCUGUGUAAUAAUUUCUAAAUCAGGCCCUUUUUGCGAGUCGCAAACGAACUCGCUGUUCCUUGUGCGUUUCUUUUGGCUAACGAUGGCUUUAUUUUUCAGCUACUUUGCACAUCCUGUAAAAAUGUAUCGGCAGUUUUGUGUGGUAAUUUCUUGGUGAUGACUGACGAUAACUAUUCCACCAACAAAGAUCACUUGUUAAUUGUUUGAUAAUUUUUUUUUCCCUACUAAAUCUAUUUCACGGAGAUGACGAACAUUUUUGGUUUAUAUUUUCGUUUUCCGUCCCACUAUCGUCCGUGGAUGGUAAGGGCUGUCACUAGGUGGCUAAAUAUUUCAAUGUGUUUAGGGAUUGAACUAUUCAGCCCUAGUGUGUACAGGGAUGUACUGGAGGGGGGAGGGUCACCACAGUUUUGAGACGAGAAACCAUUUGUCGUUCUUUUACUUCCGAGACGCUGACCGAGAAGGUUACUCUAGUCAUUAUUGCUGGGUACUUUCAUUCCUGAAAUUGUUCUUCAUAAAAAAAGGUUGGUGGAGAUUGUUCUCGAUGUGGAAUGCCAAAUCAACAAGAUGAGAUAAGAUGCCAAGCCUCUGUGAAGAGGCCUCUACCAUGUUGCGAUAUGAAAAUGUGCACACUAGGCAAGCUGAAAUGAAUUAAUCGAGUUGGGCCUAAAAUUCAUGAUUUAGAAGCAAUUUGACAACUACCAACUGUUUCAAAUAAGCAUUUGUGAAAAAAUUUUGAUCACCUUGGGAAGAGUUACAAUUUGGUUUCAUUGGUUAGUGAAAGUUUGAGCUGUUCAUGGUUGUGAUGUUUGGUGUGGCAGUCAUUUUCUGAUUGAGAGUUGCACUGAAAUGGAUCUUCUACAGACUUGCAGUCCAACAUCAUACUUCAAUUUACCAUGUUCGUGUCCAUGCAGAGUUGAGCUGUUGUGCAAAAUAAUAGGUGUUGCCUCAUGGCUUUCUGGUAAUUUGUUGGUGUGUUCUUCUGCUACCUGUAUCUAUGUUGAGUUCAAUCGAACGGCGCCGUUCCGGACUUGAUACAUUGGUGAAGCUAAGAAGAGGUUGCUGAACUUAAUUUGGUGCUGAACUUCAAGAGAUUGAUAAAUUAUUUAGUCUUAGAAAUUUUCAAAUUCAUAUCUGUUCUCUCUUUCCCCAAGUAAACAAAAUUUCCUCUUAGGAUGGGUAAUUGCAAUAAGAUUUUAUAUUUUCUGUGAGAAAGCUCAGUUAAAACCAUAAAAAUGAUGUGUACUGAUUAACUUACAUCUACCAUAACAAACCUGACAUAAUCAAUAAUACCACCUUGUUAUAAAAUAAUAAAUUAUUGAAAUCAUAA